UUAAAUAACAACGAUACUCAACAGGAUCUGCUGAACCUAUGUGUAUUUUUUAGACCCAGGCUUUUUUGCGAACAUUGCAGAGAGCCUACACUUGCAAGCUUUUUUUGCGAAUAUUGCAGAGUUAUCGAGAGCCUGUAUCCAUGCGGUGCCGCUCCCAGUCCCGCCUCUUCCCAGAAAAUCCCACGGAAAAGUUUCCCCUCUUCCAUCCAAUCCAAGCUUCCGGAGGUUCCUCUCCUCUCCACCGAGUUCGAGCAGCCGCGGCAGCAGCAGCCGCGUGCCGGCGCGCGGCGGCGGCAACCAGGACAUCGACGCUAGGUCAUACACGAAGCGGAGGGCAUGCCGUUGCUGACUUACAACGGGGGCUUCGUCGUGGUCUUAGUUCCUGCUGAACGUCUAUGUUCUUGUUCUUGUUACAUACACAAAUCCCCUAAAAACAAUCCUGUCAUUAGAUCGCUGAGUUCCAUCCAAACUGGGCAAUGAUGGAAGCCAAAUAUCACAAUUCGUUAAGCAUUUGGUAUGCUGCAUUACCAUUGCCAUUUGCAUUGCAAGAUGAUAUGCCUGCCACUCAGAAUAAACCUUUUGAUACGCUUUUACACAUUCUACUCACAUGUACAUUUUGCAAUUUGAUCUGUUCAUCAACAUGGCUAUAACAACAAUCCUGUAAGGCUGCACUAGUAGUACAUAUACAAAUUCUCACACAAAUCAUGUGGUUAUUUACACACCUCAUCUUGCAGCAGCAAAGUCCUUGUGGUCUUGUGCUUAUUUAUGAUUGGGUGUUUCUCUUCUCUUACCUUUAUACAAUUAUAAGUGAUGUACCGAUUAGUGUAUUUGCAGUUCGUAGUUCAGUCUGUCCAUGCUACCUCCGCUGGAACUUUAGGUGCUUGAUGAAGAUGAAGAAGAGGAAGGCGAACAGGGCGAUGAUGGCCAGGUGCAGGCAUGUGACAAGGUUGAAGUAGCGGUUCUCGAGGCCAAGGUAGCCCUCGAGGAACUCACGCACCGUCUGGUCCGGUUGCCCCGGCACACGGAUCAGUUCUGUCCGGUCGCCCAGCUGUGAGAACAUGAGCCCGUACACUGUCCAUGCUGCUGGGUUAGCCCAGUACACCCACCUCCACCAUAUCGGGAUCAGCUGCAUCCACAUUGCCACAUUGUUGUUGUUCAUUAGAGUGAGACUAGUACCUCUCUCCCAAUGAUGAAGCCGGAGAAGACGUUCCAAAAGAUGAAGAUAAGGAAGGACAAUCCGGCAGCUAUCUCAAGGUUAGGUGUUAAUGCGACUGUCAUCAUCCCGUAGAGUGUGUAGUACAUGAAGCUUAGCACCAUGUAAAGAACAAACCAAAAGAACUUGACGGCUGUCAUCUCGAACCCAAUCAUUGGGUAUACGAUUGAUGCGAAGAUGAGCACUUGGACAAGCAUGUAAGGCAAUUCAAUUGCCAUCUGCAAACAGAAAUCCAGCAUCGGAGUUUAGAAAACAUAUGCCAAUCAUUUUAGGUCCAGAUUAUUUGUUUUACUUUUGAAGAGAAUGAUAAAGUAGUAUUACCUGAGCUAUGGCAUAGGCCAAGGUACAGUACAUGCCUGCUGCCUUUUCUCGGUAAAGAACAACUCUCUCCAUUGCCACAACUGGCUGUAAGAUGCUGCAAUUCAUGAAGCCCAGAAACAGUGCUGAUCCAUAUACAACCCCUAGUAUGUUGAAUACAUCUUGCUCCCGUUUUCUGUUGCAUAGGAAUACAAAGUUAUGAGCUAAUUGAGGCAUGAUAAGCUUGCAUGAAAGAAAAUUAUCUCGCUUGUCGUCAUUCCUGCUUACAUGGUUGAGCCAAUUUUCCAGAAUACAAUUCCAAACAUAAUUGAUACAGCAAACGUGUUUAGGAACCGAACAACAUUGUGUUCUGAGUUUUUCCAGUAUGCACAUCUUUGUUUCCACAGGCAAGCCAUGCACUGCGCCCUAAAGUUCUGCCAAUAUCCUGGGGGAAAAUGUAGAUCCACGGUGUUUGGCGCUGGUUGGCCCAGCUCUUCAAUUAGAAGCAUGUUCUCCCUGCAGAAACAAGGGAGGAGCUCCGGUAAAUUUCUGCAUAGUCCACUCCAGUCACAUAUUCUGUUAUGUGUGAACUUAUAUCCAACACCCAUGCUGCUGGGUUUUGUCCCUCUUUUAUUCUAGGAACACCAGCACGGGCAUCCAAGCCAGUGGUUGGCUCGUCCAUGAAUAUAAUGGAAGGACUAGCUACCAGCUCCACUGCUAUUGUUAGCCUUUUUCGCUGCUCAGCUGACAGGCCAGUUGCUCCUGCUAUUCCCACCAUGGCAUUCUUCAGUCCAGUCAAUUCAACUAGAUUGCUAUGAGAGCUGCAGUGCCUAGCAUGUUGGCCAUUACUUGCGUCCUUCCUAUUGCCGCUAAGAAACGAUAGAGGCCCAUUGACAUUUGAUGCAUGGCAAAAAGUACCAAAAACUGCUGGAUGAAUCUGCAAGAAGCAAGAGAUCGUCUUUCGCAGGUUGUGGGAGAUAGGAUGAACGAAAAGAUUCUGCAAAUUUUUCGAUUGACCGGUAAUCGUGGAUUACUUUGGCUGUGUUAGGGGCGUUCUCAGGCUCGCUCUACUGUGUAGGAAAUGCUGGCGCGUGCUGUUCAUCUCAUGAGAAAUCAACUAGCAAGGAACAAGACUGCAUUAAAGCCGUUGCCGUAGCUGCUGUCGUCUUCUACACCGAAUGCUACCUCAGGAAUGGCCACGCUACGCUCAUGAAAAUUGUAAAGACCAGGUACCAAAAUGGAAAAUUCCCCAGGCUAGAUCUGUGCUGUGAUGGUUGUGCUGUCCAGAAGACCCUGCCUACAGUCCAACGAUAUACUACUCCCUCAUAAUGUAAGAUAUUUUUUGACACUAUGAUACGGUACCAAUGACGGAGCUAAUGAAGGAUCUCAGGGGGGCAAAUAGAAAAUAUGCAACUUUGAGGGGGCCAAAUGAGUGCACUCUACUAAAUUUGAGCCUUCACGAAGAAAUUUCCUUCACUAAUUAGCAAUGGCCGGGGGGCAGCGGCACCCCAAGUAAUACAUGUAGCUCCCCUGUAUGUAUGGGACGGAGGGAGUAGCUCUGUUUAUGGUAGGCUUAGUUGGGGCCAACCUAUUUGUACCAACAUUUCUUUUAGCAACUAUAGUAUCUGUGUAAACAUAUGAUCAUGUUUUUUUUUCUUGAUGGACAUAACGCCA